rnacentral:rRNA from 1 species
CUACACAUGCAGUCGAACGAUGAUGCCCAGCUUGCUGGGCGGAUUAGUGGCGAACGGGUGAGUAAUACGUGAGUAACCUGCCCUUGACUCUGGGAUAAGCCUGGGAAACUGGGUCUAAUACUGGAUACUACCUCUUACCGCAUGGUGGGUGGUGGAAAGGGUUUUACUGGUUUUGGAUGGGCUCACGGCCUAUCAGCUUGUUGGUGGGGUAAUGGCUCACCAAGGCGACGACGGGUAGCCGGCCUGAGAGGGUGACCGGCCACACUGGGACUGAGACACGGCCCAGACUCCUACGGGAGGCAGCAGUGGGGAAUAUUGCACAAUGGGCGGAAGCCUGAUGCAGCGACGCCGCGUGAGGGAUGACGGCCUUCGGGUUGUAAACCUCUUUCAGUAGGGAAGAAGCGAGAGUGACGGUACCUGCAGAAGAAGCGCCGGCUAACUACGUGCCAGCAGCCGCGGUAAUACGUAGGGCGCAAGCGUUGUCCGGAAUUAUUGGGCGUAAAGAGCUCGUAGGCGGUUUGUCGCGUCUGCUGUGAAAGCCCGGGGCUCAACCCCGGGUCUGCAGUGGGUACGGGCAGACUAGAGUGCAGUAGGGGAGACUGGAAAUUCCUGGUGUAGCGGUGAAAUGCGCAGAUAUCAGGAGGAACACCGAUGGCGAAGGCAGGUCUCUGGGCUGUUACUGACGCUGAGGAGCGAAAGCWUGGGGAGCGAACAGGAUUAGAUACCCUGGUAGUCCAUGCCGUAAACGUUGGGCACUAGGUGUGGGGGACAUUCCACGUUUUCCGCGCCGUAGCUAACGCAUUAAGUGCCCCGCCUGGGGAGUACGGCCGCAAGGCUAAAACUCAAAGGAAUUGACGGGGGCCCGCACAASCGGCGGAGCAUGCGGAUUAWUUCGAUGCAWCGCGAAGAACCUUACCAAGGCUUGACAUUCACCGGACCGCCCCAGAGAUGGGGUUUCCCUUCGGGGCUGGUGGACAGGUGGUGCAUGGUUGUCGUCAGCUCGUGUCGUGAGAUGUUGGGUUAAGUCCCGCAACGAGCGCAACCCUCGUUCUAUGUUGCCAGCACGUGAUGGUGGGGACUCAUAGGAGACUGCCGGGGUCAACUCGGAGGAAGGUGGGGAUGACGUCAAAUCAUCAUGCCCCUUAUGUCUUGGGCUUCACGCAUGCUACAAUGGCCGGUACAAAGGGUUGCGAUACUGUGAGGUGGAGCUAAUCCCAAAAAGCCGGUCUCAGUUCGGAUUGAGGUCUGCAACUCGACCUCAUGAAGUCGGAGUCGCUAGUAAUCGCAGAUCAGCAACGCUGCGGUGAAUACGUUCCCGGGCCUUGUACACACCGCCCGUCAAGUCACGAAAGUUGGUAACACCCGAAGCCGGUGGCCUAACCCCUUGUGGGAGGGAGCCGUCGAAGGUGAACCUC